rnacentral:rRNA from 1 species
CCUACGGGAGGCAGCAGUGAGGAAUAUUGGUCAAUGGGCGAGAGCCUGAACCAGCCAAGCCGCGUGAAGGAUGAAGGAUCUAUGGAUUGUAAACUUCUUUUAUAUGGGAAUAAAGUGCGGUACGUGUUCCCUUUUGUAUGUACCAUAUGAUUAAGCAUCGAGUAACACCGUGCCAGCAGCCGCGGUAAUACGGAGGAUGCGAGCGUUAUCCGGAUUUCUUGGGUUUAAAGGGUGCGUAGGUGGUUAAUUAAGUCAGCGGUGAAAGUCUGUGGCUCAACCAUAAAAUUGCCGUUGAAACUGGUUGACUUGAGUAUAUUAGAGGUAGGCGGAAUGCGUGGUGUAGCGGUGAAAUGCAUAGAUAUCACGCAGAACUCCGAUUGCGAAGGCAGCUUACUAAACUAUAACUGACACUGAGGCACGAAAGCGUGGGGAUCAAACAGGAUUAGAUACCCUUGUAGUC